GACAGAGGUCCCGAGCGUUAGGCGGAAUCACUGGGCUUAAAGCGUGUGUGGGCGGAUCGUUAAGUGCCUUGUGAAAUCCCACCGCUCAACGGUGGAACUGCUGGGCAUACUGGCGAUCUUGAGCCACCUAGGGGCAGACGGAACAAGCGGUGGAGCGGUGAAAUGCGUAGAUAUUCGGCGGAACACCAGUGGCGAAGGCGACUCACUGGCCCGAUACUGACGCUGAGGCGCGAAAGCGUGGGGAGCGAACAGG
rnacentral:rRNA from 1 species